rnacentral:rRNA from 1 species
AUGCUAGUCUACAAUUUGUCAUUGUCACAGUGUUUGCAAUUUUUUUUCUGCAGGUCAUGCUCAACUUUUUCACCCUCUAAACCUGCUCAGUGCCAAGGCGAAGGGAAGCCCCAAUCACCAAGAUGGCGGAGAAGCUUCUGUAUUGUCGUCUUGGCAUCACAGAAGAGGGUGUUCCAAGGCCGUCUGCCAUCCAUUGCCAUCGAUGCAUUGCGCGCCCUCUUCCAACUUGACUGUGACCUCUCCACAGCCAUCGAAGAUGCUCCUGUUGCCCAUGGAGUGAUCUGGACCGCCAAAGACACACAGAUGGUUGUGGUUUCCGCUGUGGUCGAGUUCCCUGAUCGUAGCUUAGUCUUUUGUGAGAUGUGUGUUGAGAUGCUGCUUGCUGUACCAACCAGCAGUCUGCUUCUCGUGAUGUUCCCCUUGCUGUACCAACCAGCAGUUUGUUUACCCUGUUGGGCAACUGUAGGGGUUGUGAAAUGUAGGUAA